ensembl:snRNA U6 U6 spliceosomal RNA
GUGCUUGCUUCAGCAGCACAUAUGCCAAAAUUGGAACAAUACAGAGAAAAUUAGCAUGCCCCUGCACAAGAAGGACAUGCAAAUUUGUAAAGCAUUGCAUAUUUUA